rnacentral:misc_RNA from 1 species
GAUGAAGAACGUAGCGAAAUGCGAUACUUGGUGUGAAUUGCAGAAUCCCGUGAACCAUCGAGUCUUUGAACGCAAGUUGCGCCCGAAGCCAUUAGGCCGAGGGCACGCCUGCCUGGGCGUCACACGUCGUUGCCCCCCCAUCUACUCCUUCGGGAUUGCGGGGGGCGGAUGAUGGCCUCCCGUGCGCCUCGUCGCGCGGUUGGCAUAAAUGCCAAGUCCUCGGCGACGCACGCCACGACAAUCGGUGGUUGCGAAACCUCGGUUGCCCGUCGUGUGCGGUCGUCGCGCAUCGAGGGCUCGAAAAAAUUGCCGGGCUCCGGCUCGGCUUUCAACGCGACCCCAGGUCAGGCGGGGUUAACCGCUGAAUUUAAGCAUAUCAAUAAGCGGAGGA